UACGUAGGGUGCAAGCGUUGUCCGGAAUUAUUGGGCGUAAAGAGCUCGUAGGCGGUCUGUCGCGUCGGCUGUGAAAUCCCCGAGGCUCAACCUCGGGUCUGCAGUCGAUACGAGCAAACUAGAGUGUUGCAGGGGAGACUGGAAUUCCUGGUGUAGCGGUGAAAUGCGCAGAUAUCAGGAGGAACACCGGUGGCGAAGGCGGCACUCUGGGCCGAUACUGACACUGAGGAGCGAAAGCGUGGGGAGCGAACAGG
rnacentral:rRNA from 1 species